GACGAACGCUGGCGGCGUGCCUAAUACAUGCAAGUUGAGCGCUGAAGGUUGGUACUUGUACCAACUGGAUGAGCAGCGAACGGGUGAGUAACGCGUGGGGAAUCUGCCUUUGAGCGGGGGACAACAUUUGGAAACGAAUGCUAAUACCGCAUAAAAACUUUAAACACAAGUUUUAAGUUUGAAAGAUGCAAUUGCAUCACUCAAAGAUGAUCCCGCGUUGUAUUAGCUAGUUGGUGAGGUAAAGGCUCACCAAGGCGAUGAUACAUAGCCGACCUGAGCGGGGGAACGGCAAAAAUGGGAAUGAGAAAAGGCCAAAACUCCAACGGGAGGCAGAAGUGGGGAAUCUUGGGAAAUGGGAGAAAGGCGGACCGAGAAACGCCGCGGGGGUGAAGAAGGUUUUCGGAUGGUAAAACUCUGUGGGGAGGGAAGAAGGGUGGGGAGAGAGGAAAGCGCAGAAAGGAAGGGAAAAAACCAAGAAAGGGACGCUAAACUAGGG
rnacentral:rRNA from 1 species